ACCAUAAUCUAAUUCAAAUUCGCGGAACCACACGAAAGGAGCCGUCAGACGAUGGAGGUUGAACCACGUGCAGUUGCCCCAAUAGAUUGCUUUGGAAAAUGGCAAAUAGAUCCGCGGAGAACACUUCUCAGGGCUUGUCAUUAUUUUUAUACUGGCCUUUGUCAAGCAAAGGGUCAAAUCUGGACUUCAAAACUGCAAUGGAUAUCCUGGUUUGCUGAUACCAUUUGAUUUUUUUAAGUGGUUUUGGCAACAGAUUCACCAUGGCUGUUAUGUUUGGAGCCACUUCCAGCACAUGCCUGAAUAUGUUUUUACAACUAAAAAAUGGAAUUUCUCAGAUGCCUGACCCAGCUGGAUGGGUGCAGGUUUUUCAGAUUAUUGUCACUGUUCUUGUAUACGGGAUCCUGUUCUACCCAUUUUUUGCUGUCUUACAACUGACAACAGACUGGCUGGGUCCUUGCUGGGUUUUCUUUAUGUUACAAUCAGAUAGAUGAGCGACAUGAAAUAUGGUUCUUAGUACUCAGGUAUUUAUUGAAACACUACAACUUGAUGAUAUGCAGUUAGUGUAUAAACAGUUUUUUUCUCUUACCUGAGUGUUUCGCAGGGAGUGUAGAGCGAAAAUCAGGAAACCCUACAGAAUAAACAUUCCUUUUUACAAUAUUUAAAUAAACUAGGCAAAUAUAUUUUAAGAUUUACAUAUGUAUGAAGAGAAAUCUAAGAAGAAAAGAAAAUUGCGUAACCCAUAACUGAGGAAGAAAUCUGUUUUCUCUGGCAUAUUUAACAGCUUUUUGUUUUCAUAACUCCAAUAAAUAUCAUGUAACAAUUGUAAUGUUGUAUCGCCUGGUUAAAAAGUUUAAUCGAGAUUGAAUGAUUUUUGAGAGAAGCCAUUCAACACUCACCUGAGUAGAGUUGAGUAUGGUGAAGAUGUAGGCGAAAGCUUUAUGCACAGGCAAAAGGAGACCAAAUAGCCACGUGACACCCAGUAGGGGAAUUAUCACCAAGCAUGCUUUGAUGCCAAGUCUAGGAGUUAAAAACAACCAAAAAAACACCAUUCUUUUUUUUUUCUUUUGACAAAAAAUUGUAAUUGUUAGAGAUCGGAAUGCCUUCCUGAUUAAGGAAUGAGGAGGUUAGGCGAAUAUCGCCUCACAGGAGCACAUGACAAUCUUUUCCACUGUUUAGUUUUAGUUUUAUGAUGUAAAUCUUACCGUAUUUGCUGAAAAUGGUUGGCUUCUGCUAUUGGCUGCACCAAAUUGGUGAUCUCUUUUAUAACGCGUACGAGUAUCAAGAUGUUGAGCUGAAGAAUACAAUAGAAAUAAAUUGAUUAUUUAGAAAUGGUUGUCAAAAAGCCAAGGCAGGAGAGGAUCCUUGCCAAAGACGUCAUUUGUUUGGUAAGGAGAGUGGAAUGAAGAGUCAUUUACAGGGAAAAGAACUCUCAGCUAGGGUACCUAGAUAAUGAGCUUGGAUGCUCUGACAAUGAGCUAAAGAAAUCGCGAACAAAAGUGUCUAAACUAAAUGAACUAUGCAAAGUGAAGCCUCAUGUUAAAUUAGAUAAAUUCAAUAUCUUCUACUCUUCCUGCUCGUUUUAUCUUUUUCAAUGUUUUUAUCAUUAUUAAUUUUUUCAAAUGAGUAACUUUAGCGCGAAAAACUCAUCUUGGUAUAUCAAUGCGAAACAGUGUUAGAAAAUUAACAUGGAGGGUGGAGAAGCUUUUUUUUUACACUAUGUAGUAAAAGUUGGAGAAUAUUUGAAGCUAUAAUUUGGUGUUAGAUCAAGGCAACAACUUCUACCUGAUAAGUUUAAAUAUUCUCAUCAGCUGUUUGCUGUUUAAUGUAAGGAUAUCACAAGGAGAGGUUUCAUGUUGAUCACUUCUGGGAGUUAAAGGUUUAAUCCGCUUUUUAAAGAGCAGAGAAAAAAGUCUUUUGGCAGAAAUUAGUCCAGGUGUACCAAUCACAAUCACCAACACGAAUCAUUAACUCACAAUUUCAAUGAAAGCCACAAAGGCGGCGAAUAUCCAGGUCAGGUUGUUAGUCGAGGAAAGCCAGCAACUAAACUCGAAGAAGUAAUAGAGAAGAAAGAAAGCCAAAUUUUUAGCGAAUGAAAUGAUACUGAUUUCAAACUAUGCACAAAAAGACAAAAGAAAGAAUGCAAUAAAAUGAAACAAAAGAAGAAGAGCAAUAAGAAACUGUUGAAUUUCCUCACUAUUUAUCACUCGUAUAGCUUUGUAACCCUUCUUUCCCGGCAACGAUGCUAAGUGAAAUGGCCACCAUGAUCACUGGAAGACCUACCCAUAAAGAAAGGAAGGAAAUCGAAACACUUCAAUGGAUGACAACACCAGAUUUGGUGAUCCGAAAGCAUGCAUGGUUAUAGCUACAAGUGCAUGCUGUAAAAUAAUAAACUCACCCCAUGAGAUGACGUGAUACAUGUGCAUCUUGGUGUUGAUGUUGUAAACUUUCACAACGAAGAAGUAGAGAUAAAUUGCCUCGAUCAGCAUCCAACAGAAAGCGGCCAUGAAGAAAUACUGCAUCAGAGCUGCUAUUGUAACACAGGCAGCCUGUGAAAAGAAAAAGUUUUCGUAUUCUUAUCGUGCUCCUUUCGACGAUAUUUACGGUGCAAAGAGUAAAUUCAUUCUAUGGAUAGAAAGAGAGGCCACUAACUUUAUUUUCUGUGGCGUUUAUUCCGGCGAUGAAGAUGAUCUGUCCAGCUCCAAGGGACAUAGAAACACUCAGUCGAAUUUGAGGGAGAGGUUGACGAACAUCUCUGAUGAAAAAAAAGUAAAAAAAACAAUGAAUUAGACAAAGGCAACAACAACAAUAACAUCAACACACACUGAGUACAUCAGAACAACAAAAUUGAAUCAAAAGAUACAGCAAAAUAUGGCUAAAGAUAUCAACUAAAUCUUGACAUCAAAGGAAAGAAGAAAAACAGUAAAUAGCUCUAGAAAGGACAAAAAAAAAGGAAAGCAUUACGAGGAAAAUAGCUUAACCGAAAACAAUUCAUAAAACGUGAAACCAUGAGCUUUUCAAGCGCUCUUGAUGGGGCAUGAAAUCGACUUUGAAUUUCUUAGUUAUCUGGCUGGCUGGCAUGCAUGUUCUUAUUGGCAUGGAGAUUUGCAUUGAGAUCUCUUUUCUCUCUAGCCUACUUGAGGGGAGUUAAGAAUUUACGUCACUAAUAUUCAGGUACAUUACUUACGUGAGGCAAGAAUAAAGUAUUAAUGUUAAAAGUAUCCCGACGAUGGAGAGGCUCAGUCCCACGUAGGUGAUAACUUUCAGAACUGUUUCGUCCUCCUCGGUGAGCUGUGUCAAAAAAGAAAAAGAAAUUUAAAAUAAAACAUUGAGGUAUUUAAUUGAGCCCAUAAAAUUAUAGAGUAAGGCAAAAAUUAUUUGAUUACCUUUGUGCUACCGUCGUAGUCCAUUAAGACGGCGAAAUGCGUCAAAUGAUUGCAGCUGCAAACUGUUUCUUCUGAGUUGCUUUUUGAUGUAACUACAUGGCAUCCUUCCUCUGAAAAGCCUUCUGACCUGAAAAAAAGUAGGUCGACAAAGCGCACAAAAUUGUUCAUCGUUUUGGAAGAGGCGAUGUUUGACAAUUUUGCGCUAAGUUUUUCCUUCAUUGUAGUCUUAGCUGCGAGAACAUUUCAGUCAGACUUCCUCUCUCUAAAAACGCCAACAUGUUGGCCUCCAGGGAAAAUCUUACUAAGAACGUUCAUUCAUUCUCCUUCAUACUUAAAUCAAUUUAAGAAGGAAUAAAUACUGAACAAUAAUAUAUUGCAGUUUUAUUUUUACCUAUUGCUGCUGCCACUCCAAAACAUACAACGCUUCUCUGCUGUCAAGACCUGAAAAUGGAUUUUAUCUUGUCAGAAUAAAUCAUAACAACGCGUAACUACUAAUUUUAAUGUUACCUUAAGGUUUUUGAACUUAAGGAUGACAUUUUCUCCCAAUUUAUUUGGCUUGGGGUCCAUAGUUAUGGCCAUUAUCCUGGAGUUGAUAUACCUAUGAAGAAAUUAUAUUUGAAAAUGAACCAAAACCAAGGAAUCAACAAGCAUAUACUCUCGCUAGAUUCAAGCGAAUUUUUAUUGAAGGUGGAAUAGUCUGAGACAGGCAGGGAGACUUCCAACCUUAGAUGGAACUUUUGACAGUUUCUAAGGUCAGUUUAGUUGAACUUGGGUCUUACGUGUUUCUGUGUUGUGUGUUUUUGGGGAAAGGGACAUACAAUAAAAUGAAAAUAACAUCACCUUUUGUUGACUGUUUUAUUCCUGAUAGGUUGAUCUGUCAGAAGUAGGUCAUGCAGAUCCUUGUACACAAAAGCCACCACCAAUGAUCCUUAAAACCCCCAAGAAUCAACAAAAAAUAAGUUAUCAAAAAAAAAAUAAUAAUAAACCACAAAAUUAAAAUUUUUAUCAUGACAUUAGAAGGAAGGCAAAUGAUUCAAGAAAAUAGACUAUGUAAACUAAUAAACCGCAUUUUUUUGAGGAUUUAUUUCAAUACAGAAAUUUCGAUUGGAGAAACCAAGGUAACUAAAAGUUGUAAAGUUAACACGCCGGUUAAUACGAACCAUUUUCCUCAAAAUUUGAAGAAGCGAUAUCGAUUCUCGCUUGCCAUCGUUGUUCCUCAAAGUGGAAGUAACUCGCAUUCUGGCGAUAGGCUUUUUGAAUGGCCAAAACUGUCAAACCGAGCGAGAAGAAAGGUUUCAAAAUUUUGAAGGAUU